rnacentral:rRNA from 1 species
AGUGAACGCUGGCGGCAGGCCUAAUACAUGCAAGUCGAACGGCAGCACAGCAGAGCUUGCUCUGUGGGUGGCGAGUGGCGGACGGGUGAGGAAUACAUGGGAAUCUGCCCAGUCGUGGGGGAUAACGUAUGGAAACGUACGCUAAUACCGCAUGCGCCCUACGGGGGAAAGUCGGGGACCGCAAGGCCUGGCGCGAUUGGAUGAGCCCAUGUUCGAUUAGCUAGUUGGCGGGGUAAAGGCCCACCAAGGCGACGAUCGAUAGCUGGUCUGAGAGGAUGAUCAGCCACACUGGAACUGAGACACGGUCCAGACUCCUACGGGAGGCAGCAGUAGGGAAUAUUGGACAAUGGGGGCAACCCUGAUCCAGCCAUGCCGCGUGAGUGAAGAAGGCCCUCGGGUUGUAAAGCUCUUUUGUCCGGAAAGAAAGCAAUCGGUUAAUACCCGGUUGUUCUGACGGUACCGGAAGAAUAAGCACCGGCUAACUUCGUGCC